UAGUGUCCAGGGUUUUGCUGCUAAGCUUACACCAUACAUUACUUCACUGUUUUAGAAUUCCUAAACAUUUGAACCCCAUUGAACUUUUCUGACAAUGAAAAAGAGGAUUCUAUCCCCAGGGGUGUUCAUAUGAAUGAUAUUCUGCAUUAGUUGAACUAGAAAAAUGUGAGGAAAUGAUUAUUUGCUGGCUUUGGAAUUCAAAACUGAUCUUUCUUUCAUUGAUGCAAGGAUCCAGCCAUCUCUGAAAAUCUCCAACUAUGAGCACAGUGACUUGGGGAGGACAUCUAGGUGUAAGCCAUAACACCUUCUCAUCGCUGGUGGAGCACUCCCCCCACCAGGUACAAAGUGUCUGAGGGAAACUGGUUAUGGGAUAUACGAUGUUUCUCAGUCCAGGAUGAUCUCUUCCAGUGAUCCUUCUUUGUUAGACUUGAUGGAAACUUAUUACUGUGAGCCCUAGCUGUCCAAUAAGUAUGAAUGAAAGAGAAUUUGUCUUGAAAUUGAUUUGCUCCGACAAUGCUAAAAAAAAAGAAUCUCCAUAAUAGAUUUCCUUGUUGAUCAUGACAUGUCAUAUUAGUCAGCAGGAAAAAGGAUCUGUGCCAGUAAGAUGAGUGUUCUACACUGAAGCCAAGAAGUGACAUUCAAAAUAAGGACCAGGACUCUCCUGUGAAGCACCACUGUCAUCCUCAGCAACAAUGAGGUUCAGAGCUCUCCCAGUGACAACAGUGGAAUACAUAUCAUGAGGCUAGCAUGACAACCUUCCGGAGAUUGAAUAGCAUGCAUCAUUCCUUCCAAGACCAGAAAACGAUGCUCAAAGAAAAGACUAGAGCCUCCCGCCCUCCCAAGGGAACCUCAUCCAUCCUCAGUGACAAGGUUCCAAGCUCCUUCAAUGUGAAUAGCAGAGUUCAUAUCAGAGGCGCGAGCAUGAUAAGCUCUUCCUAGAGAACCAAUAGCUCCAAUCAACAACAACACUAAGGAGAACCCACAAUGCUACUCUUCCUCUCGAGGUCUCCUUUUUAUGCUGGCAACAGUCCUCAGGUGGGCCAUCUACACUCAGUACCAUGCUGACUCAGGUCAGCUGGUAUUUAGGUUGACCACCAAUUACCAAUCCAUAGUAUCACUUAUCACUUUAUUGAAUGUAGGAAAUGUGGUGUGUAGUUUUUACAUAGAUGGUGCACUAUUUGCAGCCUUUUCUCUGCUUGUCUUCUGGUGUGCUUUUGCAAAUAUUUCUUCAAUGCAUAUGUGUAGAAGUGGAAUUGUUAGAUCAAAUGCAUGUAUUCAAAGAUUCUUCAAGAAAUGUAGAAUUUUUUUUUCUCUUUACCAGUUAUGAUACUUGUAACCGCUCCACACCAUUAGAACCAGCUGGUGUUUUCAGGCUUUCUGUGUUGGAACCAAACUGGUGAGUAUUGUGGCAUAGCAAUUUUAAUUUGGAAUUUCUUCCUCACCAGUUAGCUUGGGCAUCACUUAUGUUUUGAGGCCAUUUGGAUUUUGUCUUCUAUAAUCUUCUU